GGCAGUUCUCAGGUGAUGCACCCUGGAAUCGGGCCCCCUCCUCUCUGGUUCCCGGUGCAUCACCUGAGAACCACA
rfam:Myotis lucifugus cont2.21159, whole genome shotgun sequence.